rnacentral:rRNA from 1 species
CCUACGGGAGGCAGCAGUAGGGAAUUUUCCACAAUGGGCGAAAGCCUGAUGGAGCAAUACCGCGUGCAGGAUGAAGGCCUUCGGGUCGUAAACUGCUUUUAUGUGCGAAGAAUUUGACGGUAACACAUGAAUAAGGAUCGGCUAACUACGUGCCAGCAGCCGCGGUCAUACGUAGGAUCCAAGCGUUAUCCGGAAUUACUGGGCGUAAAGAGUUGCGUAGGUGGCAUUAUAAGUGGAGCGUGAAAGCGUGCGGCUCAACCGCAUUAUUGCGUUCCAAACUGUGAAGCUUGAGUAUGGGAGAGGUAGAUGGAAUUUCUAGUGUAGGAGUGAAAUCCGUAGAUAUUAGAAGGAACACCGAUGGCGUAGGCAGUCUACUGGCCCAUUACUGACACUAAGGCACGAAAGCGUGGGGAGCAAACGGGAUUAGAUACCCCGGUAGUCCACGCUGUAAACUAUGGAUGCUAGCUGUGACACACAUCGACCUGUGUCGUAGCGAAGUUAACGCGUUAAGCAUCCGCCGUCGGGAGGUACGGUCGCGAGAAUUAAACUAACAAAUAGAAGUUAGACGGCGUGAGACGUGCCGACGGACGACGACGACGGGAGGUUAGG